rnacentral:rRNA from 1 species
GGGAAGCAAUCCCGCGAGGAGGAGCAAAACCCUAAAAACGGUCUCAGUUCGGACUGCAGGCUGCAACCCGCCUGCACGAAGUUGGAAUUGCUAGUAAUCGCGGAUCAGCAUGCCGCGGUGAAUACGUUCCCGGGUCCUGUACACACCGCCCGUCACACCAUGGGAGCCGGUAAUACCCGAAGUCAGUAGUUUAACCCUUGUGGAGGACGCUGCCGAAGGUAGGAUUGGCGACUGGGGUGAAGUCGUAACAAGGUAUC